AUAAGAUCCAUUACCGGCCUCCCGUCGCCUCCGGGCUUCGGGAACAAGGUCGGCGCGCUCCGCUUUGGUGACUCUGGAUAACUCACUGGUCGAUCGCACGGGCUCCACGCCCGGCGACGGGUCCCCCGAGGGUCCGACCUAUAAACUGUCG
rnacentral:rRNA from 1 species